UACAGAGGUCUCAAGCGUUGUUCGGAAUCACUGGGCGUAAAGGGUGCGUAGGUGGCGUGGUAAGUCAGAUGUGAAAGCCCGGGGCUCAACCCCGGAACUGCAUCCGAUACUGCCAUGCUUGAGUACUGAAGAGGUGACUAGAAUUCUAGGUGUAGCAGUGAAAUGCGUAGAUAUCUAGAGGAAUACCAAAGGCGAAGGCAGGUCACUGGGCAGUUACUGACACUGAGGCACGAAGGCCAGGGGAGCGAACGGG
rnacentral:rRNA from 1 species